UGGGGAAUAUUGGACAAUGGGCGCAAGCCUGAUCCAGCAAUACCGCGUGUGUGAAGAAGGCCUUCGGGUUGUAAAGCACUUUCAGUAGGGAGGAAAGGCUCAGAGCUAAUAUCUCUGAGAGUUGACGUUACCUACAGAAGAAGCACCGGCUAACUCUGUGCCAGCAGCCGCGGUAAUACAGAGGGUGCAAGCGUUAAUCGGAAUUACUGGGCGUAAAGCGCUCGUAGGUGGAUCUUUAAGUCGAUUGUGAAAGCCCCGGGCUCAACCUGGGAAUGGCACUCGAAACUGUAGAUCUAGAGUAUGGUAGAGGAAAGUAGAAUUCCCGGUGUAGCGGUGAAAUGCGUAGAUAUCGGGAGGAAUACCAGUGGCGAAGGCGGCUUUCUGGACCAAUACUGACACU
rnacentral:rRNA from 1 species